GUCUCGAGCAUGUCUACAUUUCUCGCAAAUACGCAUGAAGUAAUCAGCAUAAGACGUGGGCUGACGGCAUGCGGAGAGGAGCGAAUGAAGUAAUAUUGCUGAAGAUGGAAUUAGACAACCAGAUAAACGGCUGGUUGGAGAUUUACAAUUGGACUUACAGUCGCCGCAGGCAUAAACACUUGCGAUCAAGGGCGCAAAACAAGCAACCCAGUGCCGAGUUAGACGUAGUUGGAUAGAAAAAAUACUGAAGUGAAUUAAAAGAUUUGUGGUUUUAAAUUUUAAAAUUGUUUCCAUUUCAUAUAUUAGCAAAAGGAAACCUUUAAUGCCACCUUUUUGUAUUCUUUCACAGUUUUAGUACCAAAUUUAGGUACAGGCGGCAGGUCAAGGUUGCGUCUUACCACACCUCAAGGAUGUGCUCAAAGUUACCAAAAUAGUUGCGGCCUUGGAAGAAUAAAAACUUAAAAUCUAGAAGAAUGUGGUGUAUGGGUUAUGCGAAGGGUGCGGAUCCAAAGCCAAUAGUGGACAUGAAACAUCAGGUCGUAUCGUUCGUAAUUGGAGCAAUGAGGCAAGAGGGAGAGACUGAAUUGGAGGAGAAUUGCUGAUAAAGCCAUGGUACACCACAGACUGUGUAGCUAAGAGGAAGAGAGAAAGGGAGGGUAAAUGCCUAUUUUCAAACCAAAAUUAUCUUGGACAAAGAGCGGGUCUAAUUUCUUCCUAACGCAGCUAUUAAGUGGACACGGAUGUUUCCAAAAAUAUCUACAUACAUCGCCUAGACUUAGAGGAGACGGUCGAACAUGUGGCUUUCUAUUGUAGCAGGUUCGUUAAGGAACGCGAUGACCUAGCAAGAACAACUGGUGUGUAUCUGACGCCCAUUAACCUAGUUCCGCAAAUGCUUGAGUCGAAUGAAAAAUGGAGGGCAGUGCAAGCUUUUGCAACUCGAAUUAUCGUGGAACUUCGCAACAUUGAUUGGUGGCGAAGGAACGAUGCGAGACAAACGCGGCAGCAACCACAACUGUCACAUUGAUAAAAAGCAGCAAGACGAACAGUAGACGCAUAUAACUGACGAUUGAGCAUCGAGCAUGAAAAAAUGCGCGGCAGCUGGAUUUCAUUGGUAACCUUGGAAUAAAUUUCUUUGCUAACUGGUCACCUCACACAAGACGAUGUGCUCUAUAAACCGGAGAAGAAGCUUUGUAAAACAUCUACUAAAGGAUGUGCAUUUCAUAUUCACAGCAGCUAUUGUUUUGUCGCCAAUCUAAAGGGGCAAGAGAAACAUGAAAAAACGUACUCUAACACUAUGGUCUCGAAAGAUAUGACCACAUUUCUUUAUAGAAAAACAAAAUUCUAGGAUGCAGUAUUUUUGAUUAUCUGAUGGCCAGAAAUUGUAUAUUUAUGUAUACGCUGAUUAAAUUUAAAGCCCUCAAAUACCUUUACGAGAAAUUAAGAUUGCUGAGAGUUAAUGGGCAUCAAACACUGAUGGUAUCCAAAUAUUUUUACUUGUCCUCAUCAAGGCUUCUCUUCAUUCAUUCUGUGAGGCUCUGGAAUUCUAUUCGAGAAUCUAAGAAGACUACUAUGAAUAGGCGUAACUACA